UCACAAACAAAUACCAGUCUGGCAACCCCCUGGUACCGCACAGGAUAGCUGGAGUUAUGUGGAGGGGCAGUGCUCCCUGUCAGCGUCUGUGAUCUGCAGAGAGAAAAUGGCGCUGAUAUUGUUCAGAGUUCUCUCUUGGGGAGGUCAGAACUUGACUUUAGGAGGUGACUUCAACACUGUUGUCGAUCCGUCCAUAGACAGAUCAGGGGGGCAUUGGGAGAAUUAUGAUCUAUCCAAUUGAAAAGUAAGAAGAAUUAUAAAGCACCCAUCCACGAUGCAAUUUUCCAUUUGAAAUACUGAUGUAUCAUCACCCCUAUGGGAAGUGUAGCAGACAUGUAAAGAGCGUUCUGUCAUAUGAUUCGGGGAAACAGAGGUCACGAGGACGAUGGUCUAUGUGCGAUCAUCAGUAUGGGAAAUCCGUCCUGUCUGUGUAAACACUGAAAACAACUACAGUGACGCAUCUAGGUGGAUCACGUGAGCGGAGACCCCGAGAGGAGGAGUACGUGACGUUGCCUUAUGUGUCACGGUAUGGCCGCUGACAGCACGGAUGAUCACGUGAUCGGAACAUCCAGAGGGGAGGAGUGAGUGACGUCGCGUGACGCGACAUCACGUGACCGCAAGUGCAGCAGAGGCGGGAGACCGCUGUGUUUAAGAUGUGUAUCGUGAUUGGGGUUGCUAGGAAACUUAUGCAGUAGUGAAGGGUGGUCCUAGCGCACAUGACCAUGGACUUGUAGAUAAACUAUGUAUAAGGAUCAGCUGCGCUGGGACCAAUAGGAGUGUAAUAGUAGGGAUUUAAGUAGACGGACAGCACCUGUAAGACAUCCACACCUGAGCUGACCUUGAGAAAGACCCGAGGAGGGUCGUAACGCGUAGGUGCUCUUUGGACUGACCUCCUGAGUGUGAACGACGAGUGUGGACUGAGCCGGUGUAUGAAGGAGUUCUGGGACUGGAGAAUCCCUUGCUGCAGCCUGGUGAUAUACUCUGUGUUACUCAUGCUUUUAGAACUAACGUGAGCCAGUUCUCACCUCUAGCUGGUAAUCAGCCAUUUCUACUGUUGUUGCCCAGGGUGUCAGCCCUACCAGUGAAUGUCUGCACCACAAUUGUGUGGUUUUUGUGUUUUCAAAUUGUUUUUAAUUGUCAUGUUGUCAUGUGUGAUGUAUUAAAUUUUUAAACAGUAUCACA